rnacentral:rRNA from 1 species
UACGUAGGGUGCAAGCGUUGUCCGGAAUUAUUGGGCGUAAAGAGCUCGUAGGCGGCUUGUCGCGUCGAAUGUGAAAACCCACGGCUCAACUGUGGGCUUGCAUUCGAUACGGGCAGGCUAGAGUUCGGUAGGGGAGACUGGAAUUCCUGGUGUAGCCGGUGAAAUGCGCAGAUAUCCAGGAGGAACACCGGUGGCGAAGGCGGGGUCUCUGGGCCGAUACUGACGCUGAGGAGCGAAAGCGUGGGGAGCGAACAGG